GGACAAGCAAACAACCGGCCCCGAAGGCUUCUGGGAAAUGUAGUGUAACUGCGAGAGCCGGUUGCAACAACUCGACGAACGAAGUUACUACAAAGCCCAGAAUGCUCCGCUACAAACUAUUUGGGAUAGGAGGUUAAAAAUCCCCCUGCAGAUGCGGGAGACAGAAAAGACACGGGUUCGAUCUCUGGGUUGGAAAGAUCCUCUUGAAGAGGCUUCCCUGGUGGCUCAAACGGACACAAAUCUGAGGAACUUUCUGGAGUGAUACAGAUGUUCCAUAUCUGGAUCUGAUGGUUACACUGAUGUAUAAUAGGUAAAAUUUGGUGUGAAGAAGUAAUAACAGCUAGCCCUUACCUGGCACUUACCACAUACCAAGCACUCUUUGAAGUACUUUGCGCAUAACUCAUUUCAUCCUAACAAUAACCCUGUAAUGCCAGAAAUCCAGACCUGCCUUUCAGCUCAGUGGAGACCACCUACUUCAAGGAGAAUAGACAACAGCUAGUCACUGGCUCUAGGUGGCGGCAUAACCCUCAGACACCUGUAGGUGAGUUGGUUGUGAUCACCCAGUGACACCCCCUGGAGAAGUUUGCAAGUGUGAGCCAUUGGUGACAGUCAUCAAAAGGAUCUGUCUUCUACAGUUCCCAUCCAACCAAACACGGAGCUCUGUGGGUGUCCUGGUCUCUUCCUGGCUGAUGUGGAAUCCAUUCUGG
ensembl:lncRNA